GAAAUAGAAUGAAUUUAAUUAAGCUGCUAACUUAAAUUAAUAGCGGUUCGAUUCCGUUAAUAUUUCU
rnacentral:tRNA from 2 species